CACGUAGGGCGCAAGCGUUGUCCGGAAUUAUUGGGCGUAAAGAGCUCGUAGGCGGUCUGUUGCGUCCGCUGUGAAAACUCGGGGCUUAACCCCGAGCCUGCAGUGGAUACGGGCAGACUAGAGGUAGGUAGGGGAGAAUGGAAUUCCCGGUGUAGCGGUGAAAUGCGCAGAUAUCGGGAGGAACACCAGUGGCGAAGGCGGCUCACUGGCCCGGUACUGACGCUGAGGUGCGAAAGCGUGGGGAGCAAACGGGG
rnacentral:rRNA from 1 species